GGAGCCGAGGCUCAGAUGCCACUAGCUGGCGCUGACAUCUCGCCCUCAAAACUUAAACCUCCAGGGUGCACGCGCAGAUGCGUAUACACGCUAAAGAUUGCGUAAGCACGCUAAGAAUUGCGUAGGCAUGCCGGUAAGAGUGAGCAGCCAAUCAGGGUAUUGACACGUCACUCAGGUGGACCCAGGCUUAUAUAAACAGCGCUACUCCGGGGCCCGCCCUCUCCUUCGAUCUCUUCCUUCCCCGUUUCCCCGCCCGGGGCCGCGGCCCUCGGGAAGCCGCCCGCGCCCACGAGGUGGCCGGGCGGCCUCUCUCUCCCCUCUUCAUCGCGUGACUAAUAAAGUUUACUGCGGAAGGAUUCCUGUGGUCGCGUGCGUUUCUGCCGGCGAAACAUUCACGCGGCGGCUCCCAACAUCUGGUGCUGAAACCCGGGAACAUUGCUGGGAAGAAAACAAUCCAUUCUGGGUACCGGAGCGCCUCACGCGAAAGCUCGUGACAGCUGAAGAUGAUCUUCCAACAGACACACCUGCUACUGCUGAAAGAAUCAAGGACAGCGAGGAGGACCACUAAUUCUACUCGAGUGGAUUCAUUGCCCACAGACUGGCUUUACCCUGGGUUUCUUCUGCCUUUUCUUACUUCAGAUUGGGUGGGGGUCGGAAUGUUUGGUGUAGCAUUGUGUCGUGGCUUAGUGUUUUUUACUCUGGUUGUUCUGCAAACUCUAUACCCAAAACAAACGUGACUAGGUCGCAAUCGCGCAAGCACUAGCACCCUUGAAACAAGGAUCGUCUCCCAAAAAUUUGGUUAUCCAUGUUAAAAAAUUAAAACAGACUGUGACACUCAGUCGAUGCACCUCAGGGGUUUCACCCAUUGCACUGAGUCGAUGAGUGAUCCAGGUUAAUGUUGCCUUUGCCUAAACGGUUAUGGUACCUAGACAGGAGGGUGACAGCUCUUGCACUCCCUGGAAUUUUAUUCCAUUGCACGGGAAUGAGUGUCACCUCCUUUCUGAGAUGUGGUACCUAGACAGGAGGGUGACAGCUCUUGCACUCCCUGGAAUUUUAUUCCAUUGCACGGGAAUGAGUGUCACCUCCUUUUAAAAAUCUUCUCCCCUAGCCCCUGCACCCAGAGGACUUGUUUCCAUUGCACCUGGUGGGGUAAGGGAGUAAUCUAAAGCUUUUGAUCGCUUACUCCCCAAAGAAGGAGUUUGCUUGAUCGAGCUUAGGGCCCUCUUGUACCGUGCUCAUAGGCUUUUAGGCAGUUUUCAUUUAUUUAUUUAUAACAAAAAGGGAGAUGUGGGGAGCCGAGGCUCAGAUGCCACUAGCUGGCGCUGACAUCUCGCCCUCAAAACUUAAACCUCCAGGGUGCACGCGCAGAUGCGUAUACACGCUAAAGAUUGCGUAAGCACGCUAAGAAUUGCGUAGGCAUGCCGGUAAGAGUGAGCAGCCAAUCAGGGUAUUGACACGUCACUCAGGUGGACCCAGGCUUAUAUAAACAGCGCUACUCCGGGGCCCGCCCUCUCCUUCGAUCUCUUCCUUCCCCGUUUCCCCGCCCGGGGCCGCGGCCCUCGGGAAGCCGCCCGCGCCCACGAGGUGGCCGGGCGGCCUCUCUCUCCCCUCUUCAUCGCGUGACUAAUAAAGUUUACUGCGGAAGGA